rnacentral:rRNA from 1 species
CCUACGGGCGGCAGCAGUGGGGAAUAUUGGGCAAUGGGCGCAAGCCUGACCCAGCAACGCCGCGUGAAGGAAGAAGGCUUUCGGGUUGUAAACUUCUUUUGUCAGGGACGAAGCAAGUGACGGUACCUGACGAAUAAACCACGGCUAACUACGUGCCAGCAGCCGCGGUAAUACGUAGGGGGCAAGCGUUAUCCGGAUUUACUGGGGGUAAAGGGCGUGUAGGGUGGACUGCAAGUUAGAUGUGAAAACCACGGGCUCAAACUGUGGCCUGCAUUUGAUACUGUAGUUCUUGAGUACUGGAGAGGCAGGCGGAAUUCCUAGUGUAGCGGUGAAAUGCGUAGAUAUUAGGAGGAACACCAGUGGCGAAGGCGGUCUGCUGGACAGCAACUGACGCUGAGGCGCGAAAGCGUGGGGAGCAAACAGGAUUAGAUACCCGAGUAGUC